AGCUAUCUUUCGGGGUGGUCAAUUGGUUGUUAUAUCUCCACUAAUAAGCGGAGAGGGGUAAAACCUUCAAAGUAAGUUAUGUGGAUCAAGGUAUGAUGAUUAAUUGGAGUUCUAGUUCAUUUACUUUGAGAAAAUUAGAGUGUUUAAAGCAGCCUCUUGGGGCACUGAAUACAUUAGCAUGGGAUAAUAAAAUAGGAUCUUCACAAUAUAUUUUAUUGGUUUAAAUUGGAUAUGAAGAUAAUGAUUAAUAGGGACAGUUGGGGAUAUUCAUAUUGGGUGGUUAGCGGUGAAAUGCUCGGAUCCAUUCAAGAUGAACUAAAGCGAAGGCAUUUACCAAGGAUGUUUUCAUUAAUCAAGAACGAAAGUUAAGGGAUCGAAGACGAUUAGAUACCGUCGUAGUCUUAACUAUAAACUAUGCCGACCAGGGAUAUGAGUUGUUAGGAAUAUACGAAAGUAUAUUCAAUUUCUUCUUAUGGACCUUGUGAGAAAUCAUAAGUUUUUGGGUUCU
rnacentral:rRNA from 1 species